AUGAUGUCUGAGUUACAAAAAGAGAUUAAGCAAACCUUACUGUGAGUAAUACCAAGCCUUCCUGACGAGCCAUUCAAUCAGUCAGUUGAGAAAUGUGUAGUCUGAGGAGUAGAAGAUUUAAUGUACGUGAAAGAAGAGGACUUGUUAAGAGUUCAUACAGCCUGUCCAAUGCCAAACUGUUCACAUGAACAAAGAAGCAGCAUUUUGGUUCAGUAAUUAGUUUGACCGAGGUCUCCUCAAAAUUCACCACAAAUGAGCUCCUCAGGCUCCUCAUUAAGAAAAUGGAUGGACUCACACUUCAAGCAGAUGUAUUUGCCACUUCAGCAGAUGUCCAAGGAACACUCAACUUGCCUGACAGUCCUUGAAUUAUAAUUCUUGGUCAAACUCUAAGCAACCAGCAGUGGAUGGUGAGCAUUGAAGGUCACGUUGUAUGUGAGGGAACACAACUCAGCUUUGUCUGUGGCCGUACUGCUGUGUUUGCUUCAUGUGUGGACACUUUUCUCUGGUGUCGUUUCUUGUGACUGAAGACAGAAAAAGCAAAAUUAAAAUGAUAUAUUGACAUCAACCCUGAACAAAUGUUCAAGGCCAAUCAAGGAAAAGCAACAUCCAAGAAGACUAGCCAAGUAGUCCAUAACAAGAAGAACGCAGUAAACCCUCAUUUUUCCUAUCCACUUUGUAAGAUAAUGGACUUUGAGCAGAAU